rnacentral:rRNA from 1 species
CACGGAGGCCCCAAGCGUUGUUCGGAAUUACUGGGCGUAAAGGGUGCGUAGGCGGCGGGGUAAGUCAGAUGUGAAAGCCCGGGGCUCAACCCCGGAAUUGCAUCCGAUACUGCCUUGCUUGAGGAUUGGAGAGGAGACUGGAAUUCACGGUGUAGCAGUGAAAUGCGUGGAUAUCGUGAGGAAGGCCAAUGGCGAAGGCAGGUCUCUGGACAAUUCCUGACGCUGAGGCACGAAGGCCAGGGGAGCAAAAAGG